ensembl:lncRNA
GGGAGAGCGGAGGGAUGCUGGGAGGCGGACCCUCAUUCUGCUGCUCUCAGCCCUCCACCAGAGAAUGUGAGCGGAACGAGGAGUGGAGCGUGCUCUAUUUGACUGGAGCACAGAGCUCCACAGAUUCCCAAAGGCUGGAGCACCCCCCUCCAAUUUCACUCACUUCACCAGCUCAGAGCAUGCCCGGACCAGCAUGCAUCUGUAGUCUACUUGCACAGAGUCAAUGUGGAGGCUAUAUACAGGGGGUACCGGUACAGAGUCAAUGUGGAGGCUAUAUACAGGGGGUACCGGUACAGAGUCAAUGUGGAGGCUAUAUACAGGGGGUACCGGUACAGAGUCAAUGUGGAGGCUAUAUACAGGGUGUUACGGUACAGAGUCAAUGUGGAGGCUAUAUACAGGAGGUACCGGUACAGAGUCAAUGUGGAAAAGGCUAUAUAGAAGCCUCUUGGACCUAGACUUGGUGUUCCGGUACCGCUUGCCGUGCGGUAGCAGAGAGAACAGUCUAUGACUAGGGUGGCUGGAGUCUUUGACAAUUUUUUUAGGUUCUUCCUCUGACACCGCCUGGUAUAGAGGUCCUGGAUGGCAGGAAGCUUGGCCCCUGUGAUGUACUGGGCCAUUCUCACUACCCUCUGUAGUGCCUUGCAGUUGCCAAACCAGGCAUUGAUUCAACCAGUCAGGAUGCUCUCGAUGGUGCAGCUGUAGAACCUUUUGCAGAUCUGAGGACCCAUGCCAAUUAAAAGCAGCAUGAUGAUGUACUUACUACGUGCACAUGCUAACAGAAAGGAACCAGCUGAGUAGCUAGCUAAGUGUGUCGUUGUAGCAAAGUAUUUAUAAACCAAAAAUCUCAUCUCUUAAAUGUUUCAUUCAUUUUUGUUCUAUUACCUAUACAAUAGGCCAUAAUUGAUUUUGGCCCAAUAGGCCUGGCAUAUUCCCACGUUCAAUGAGCUUUCUGUUUUCAUUGGGUUAUUUUUGCCUAAAAACCUUUUAGGACUACCUAUAGAAAAAUGAAAAAAUAAACAACUCUGCAUCUCUGCCCAGCCUGGCAAGAGCAUCCUGAACGGUGUUUAUUAU